rnacentral:lncRNA from 1 species
AUGUACGUGUUCUCCAACAGCUCAAUGACACGUGCCCAGCUGAUGAUGGGAGGAUGCAAGGAAUCGGAGACAGAAGACUUUGCUCUGACUUCUCCUAUUGUCGACAGUGGGUGUAACGAAGGCAACAAAACUCUGGAGAUUCUUGUACAAACUUCACUGAUUAAAGUAUACCGCAUUGAUUUGGCUAAAGUCGAUGUAGUGGGCAACACGAUGUGGGUGGAAUGUGAAGUGAGCAUGUGUGUGACCACACAGCCCUCUGAAAAGUGCCCAGAACCAUGUGACCCCGCAGCUGUUGGGAAUGUCUUGGUGUCACAAUAUAUUUCUCGUAACUAUACUGUACGGUCUGGGCCUGUCCUCAUCGUGGACGCCGCAGUUACAACAGUAGCUACAACCACCACAGCCCCUACAACGACAACACAGACCACCACUACCACUACCACUACCACUACAACUACUACUACUACAGCCCCUACAACUACCACACCCAACCCUACCACAGCAGCAGGUAAAGUCUUCCAAGGUACAGAGGUAUCGCACAUUAUUAUCAAGCCAUCUAUACAGACACACAAGGAACAACUCAACACUCACUAA